UUGCUUUGGCAGCAUAUAUACCAAAAUUGGAACAAUACAGAGAAGAUUAGCAUGGGCCUCUGCACAAGGAUGACAUACAAAUUCAUGAAGCGUUCCACAUCUUU